rnacentral:rRNA from 1 species
AUGCAUUCUAGUUCUGGAAGAAAGUAUGAUUCUGGUGCCUUCAAGCGUAAGAAGAAACAGAAAUUAGAAGAAGAUGCUCAAAUUCAAAGGGGUGCUCUUGAUAAAUAUGUUGUGAUAGUACCCCAAACUAAUUCUGAAAAUCAUACUCCAAAUGGUAAUAUUGAUGAUGGUCAUGAUGAUAAUGCAGUAGAGGUUGAGGUUGUCACUGCAGAAAUUCAUGAAGUUGAUCAUGGUCAUGGUGAUAAUGCACAAGAGGAUGAGAUUGCCGCUACAGAAAUUGAUGAAGGUAAUGAUGUCAAUAUUUUAGAUGAUGAUCAUGAUCCUAAUAUUUCGGAUGACAUGAAUAAUUCCAUUCAGCUUGAUAUAUUUGAUCCUAGAAAUUGGGAUGGACUUGAUCCUAAAAGAUUAAUUAUGAAGAUGUAA